GGACGAACGCUGGCGGUAUGCUUAACACAUGCAAGUCGAACGAAAAGGAAGAGCUUGCUCUUCCUGAAAGUGGCGAACGGGUGAGUAACGCGUGGGUAACCUACCCUUUGGAAAGGAAUAGCCUCGGGAAACUGGGAGUAAUGCCUUAUAAGAUACGUUUGUCGCAUGGCAUUUGUAUUAAACGCUCCGGCGCCAUAGGAUGGACCCGCGUCCCAUUAGCUAGUUGGUGAGAUAACAGCUCACCAAGGCCACGAUGGGUAACCGGUCUGAGAGGGCGAACGGUCACACUGGAACUGAGACACGGUCCAGACUCCUACGGGAGGCAGCAGUGGGGAAUAUUGCGCAAUGGGGGCAACCCUGACGCAGCAAUACCGCGUGAGUGAAGAAGGUUUUCGGAUCGUAAAGCCCUGUUAUUGGGGAAGAAAAAAAGACGGUACCCAAGAAGAAAGUUCCGGCUAACUACGUGCCAGCAGCCGCGGUAAUACGUAGGGAACAAGCGUUGUCCGGAUUUACUGGGCGUAAAGGGCACGCAGGCGGUUUUUUAAGUCAGAUGUGAAAGGCCACAGCUCAACUGUGGACAUGCAUUUGAAACUGAAAGACUUGAGUAUUGGAGAGGCAAGUGGAAUUCCUAGUGUAGCGGUGAAAUGCGUAGAUAUUAGGAGGAACACCGGUGGCGAAGGCGGCUUGCUGGACAAAUACUGACGCUGA
rnacentral:rRNA from 1 species